CGUGUUGUUGUGGGACCAACGUCAAGGUAGCUGCGCGCGUACUCUGUUUGCUGCGGAUAUUAUUGGGUUUUUUUGUGCUAGAGAACCAGAUAUAGAUAACUUCUUUGUCACUGUAAUCACCGCCGUGGGCAGCGGAGUUUGCAGUGGACCGAUUAGUGGACCGUGUGUUCCGCAAGGGGAACGAAGUAGAAAGUAAGUUGUGCUUAGUAGUCGCUAUGGUGCUAGCUUAGGCUGGUAGCUACAUGUGCUUUUGCUAAACACCGAAUUGAUAUUAUGCAUUGCUGAACUCCCGUGUCCCUGUUUCUUUAAAAGCUGAACCUGGACUGUUGAGAGCCGUGUGAUCUGCGUUUGUGCUGGUGUGCGUGUGUAUAUGACGUUUGAGCCUCUGUUGCAGUCUCAGGAGAGGACCCCACAGCGACUGUUGAUCCCUCCAACAACAGCGUGUGUCACAGGACAUGUUAAAGGUAGGAAUGGCACUCUUCAUUCCCUCAUCUUUCUGACAUCCUGCUUUUAUCACUUACCAAGUCAGCUUGUAUGAGGUAGCUUGUAGACCGAGGUG
rnacentral:lncRNA from 1 species